rnacentral:rRNA from 1 species
UACGUAGGUGGCAAGCGUUAUCCGGAUUUACUGGGUGUAAAGGGCGUGUAGGCGGGACUGCAAGUCAGAUGUGAAACCCAUGGGCUCAACCCAUGGCCUGCAUUUGAAACUGUAGUUCUUGAGUGAUGGAGAGGCAGGCGGAAUUCCGUGUGUAGCGGUGAAAUGCGUAGAUAUACGGAGGAACACCAGUGGCGAAGGCGGCCUGCUGGACAUUAACUGACGCUGAGGCGCGAAGGCGUGGGGAGCAAACAGG